rnacentral:tRNA from 1 species
CAUAUUAUAGUUUAAUGCCAAAACCAUGAAUUGCAAAUUCAUAAAAGAAUAAAUCAUUCUAAUAUGU